CCUGACUCUUGACAUCCUGUGAACUUUCUAGAGAUACUGACGUCCCCUUCGGGGACACAGAGACAGGUGCUGCAUGGUUGUCGUCAGCUCGUGUUGUGAAAUGUUGGGUUAAGUCCCGCAACGAGCGCAACCCUUAUCCUUUGUUGCCAGCGGUCCGGCCGGGAACUCAAAGGAAACUGCCGGUGAUAAACUGAAGGAAGGGGGGGAUGACUUCAAGUCAUCUGGGCCCUUACAACUAGGGCUACCCCCUUGCUACAAGGGCGCAUACAAAGAGAACCAAACUCCCAAGAUCAACCGGACCUCAUAAUCUGCUUCCUAUUCCGAAUUGGAGUCUGCACCUCACCUCCUUGAACUCGGAUUCCCUAUUAUUCCUAAAUCACAAUGCUACGGUGAAUACUUUCCCGGGUCUGGUACACCCCGGGGGGUGGAA
rnacentral:rRNA from 1 species